CUCGUAGUUUUGAUGAUGGGGAGUCGGACCUGCCCGGUGAAAUUUUUUAACGGCCGCGGUACUCUGACCGUGCAAAGGUAGCAUAAUCAUUUGCCUUAUAAUUGAAGGCUGGUAUGAAUGGUUUGACAAGAAUAUGACUGUCUCUUUACAAUUUGAUGGAAUUUUAUAUUUAGGUGAAAAAGCCUUAAUUUGAUUAAAAGACAAGAAGACCCUAUCGAGCUUAAAAGGAGUUAAUGGGUAUAAGAUUUUUGAUUUAAAAAAUAUGACUAUUAAAUAUUUUGGUUGGGGCGACUGAGGAACAUGUAAAACUUCCUUUCUAGUUUUAUGAUAUACAGUUAUUGAUCCAUAGUUAGUGAUUAAAGGAAUUAGUUACCGUAGGGAUAACAGCAUAAUCUUUUUUGAGAGUUCUAAUCGAAAAAAGGGUUUGUGACCUCGAUGUUGGACCAGAAUGUCCUAAAGAUGCAGAAGUCUUUAAGGGUUGGUCUGUUCGACCAUUAAAAUUCUA
rnacentral:rRNA from 1 species